rnacentral:rRNA from 1 species
UACGGGGGGAGCAAGCGUUGUUCGGAUUUACUGGGCGUAAAGGGCGCGUAGGCGGCCACCGCAAGUCGAUUGUGAAAUCUCCGGGCUUAACUCGGAAAGGUCAACCGAUACUGCGGGGCUAGAGUGAUGUAGGGGAGACUGGAAUUCCUGGUGUAGCGGUGAAAUGCGCAGAUAUCAGGAGGAACACCGAUGGCGAAGGCAGGUCUCUGGGCAUUAACUGACGCUGAGGAGCGAAAGCAUGGGGAGCGAACAGG